rnacentral:lncRNA from 1 species
UUUUCCUGAAAAUUCUAUUUGUUGUCUUCAUUCUGAAUUCACUGGAAAAGGGGCAACUCUUAGUUCAGUACUGUGCAGCAGUGGUUCUCAAGCUUUCGUUACAUCAGAAUCACUUGAAGAGGUUGUCCAGCCAUAAAUUUCUGGAACUGACCUUGAGAGUUUCUGAUUCAGUAGGACUGGGGCACUACCUGAGAAUCUGUACUUACAGCACAUUUCUAGGUGAUGCUAAUGCUACUGGUUUGGAGCCCACUUUGUGAGAAUCAACAGUAAGGGUCACUGUAACUUUUGUCAGAUACUGCAGUAGCACUAAGCUUAGCCAGUACUUGUAUAAUACUUGAUAGCAAAAUACCUCUUCCCAUGUCGUUUCAUUUUGUCCUCACAGUAACCCUGGGAGGUCCACAUUAUUAGUUCUGAUUCAUAGAUGAGCAGUGAGCUG